rnacentral:rRNA from 1 species
CAGUCGAACGGCAGCACAGGAGAGCUUGCUCUCUGGGUGGCGAGUGGCGGACGGGUGAGGAAUACAUCGGAAUCUACUUUUUCGUGGGGGAUAACGUAGGGAAACUUACGCUAAUACCGCAUACGACCUACGGGUGAAAGCAGGGGAUCUUCGGACCUUGCGCGAUUGAAUGAGCCGAUGUCGGAUUAGCUAGUUGGCGGGGUAAAGGCCCACCAAGGCGACGAUCCGUAGCUGGUCUGAGAGGAUGAUCAGCCACACUGGAACUGAGACACGGUCCGGACUCCUACGGGAGGCAGCAGUGGGGAAUAUUGGACAAUGGGCGCAAGCCUGAUCCAGCCAUACCGCGUGGGUGAAGAAGGCCUUCGGGUUGUAAAGCCCUUUUGUUGGGAAAGAAAUCCAGCUGGCUAAUACCCGGUUGGGAUGACGGUACCCAAAGAAUAAGCACCGGCUAACUUCGUGCCAGCAGCCGCGGUAAUACGAAGGGUGCAAGCGUUACUCGGAAUUACUGGGCGUAAAGCGUGCGUAGGUGGUCGUUUAAGUCCGUUGUGAAAGCCCUGGGCUCAACCUGGGAACUGCAGUGGAUACUGGGCGACUAGAGUGUGGUAGAGGGUAGCGGAAUUCCUGGUGUAGCAGUGAAAUGCGUAGAGAUCAGGAGGAACAUCCAUGGCGAAGGCAGCUACCUGGACCAACACUGACACUGAGGCACGAAAGCGUGGGGAGCAAACAGGAUUAGAUACCCUGUAGUCCACGCCCUAAACGAUGCGAACUGAUGUUGGGUGCAAUUUGGCACGCAGUAUCGAAGCUAACGCGUUAAGUUCGCCGCCUGGGGAGUACGGUCGCAAGACUGAAACUCAAAGGAAUUGACGG